rnacentral:rRNA from 1 species
AUACGGAGGAUGCGAGCGUUAUCCGGAUUUAUUGGGUUUAAAGGGAGCGUAGGUGGGAUAUUAAGUCAGCUGUGAAAGUUUGGGGCUCAACCUUAAAAUUGCAGUUGAUACUGGUUUCCUUGAGUACGGUACAGGUGGGCGGAAUUCGUGGUGUAGCGGUGAAAUGCUUAGAUAUCACGAAGAACUCCGAUCGCGAAGGCAGCUCACCGGGCCGGAACUGACACUGAUGCUCGAAAGUGCGGGUAUCAAACAGGAUUAGAUACCCUGGUAGUCCGCACAGUAAACGAUGAAUACUGGAUGUUUGCGAUACAAUGUAAUCGGCUGAGCGAAAGCGUUAAGUAAUCCACCUGGGGAGUACGUUCGCAAGAAUGAAACUCAAAUGAAUUGACGGGG